UACAGAGGUCCCGAGCGUUGUUCGGAAUCACUGGGCUUAAAGGGCGCGUAGGCGGGCCAUAAAGUCAGGGGUGAAAUCCUCCAGCUUAACUGGAGAACUGCCUUUGAUACUGAUGGUCUCGAGUAAGGUAGGGGCAUGCGGAACUGAUGGUGGAGCGGUGAAAUGUGUUGAUAUCGGAAGGAACGCCGGUGGCGAAAGCGAGCGACUGGACCUCUUCUGACGCUGAGGCGCGAAAGCUAGGGGAGCAAACGGG
rnacentral:rRNA from 1 species